GCCGCGUGAGUGAAGAAGGCCUCUGGGUUGUACAGCUCUUCUGUAAGGGAAGAUAAUGACUGUACCUUACUGAUAAGGUCCGGCUACCUCCGUGCCAGCAGCCGCGGUACUACGAACGGACCUAGCGUAGUUCGGAAUUACUGGGCUGUAAAGCGCGCGUAGGCCGUUGAGUUCAGUUCAUAGUGAAAUCCCAAAGCUUAACUUUGGAACUGCAAUUAAAACUGCUCGACUAUAGUUUGAUAGAGGAAAGCGGAAUACAUAGUGUAGAGGUGAAAUUCGUAGAUAUUAAUGUAGAACACCAGUUGCGAAAGCGGCUUUCAGGGUCAACACUGACGCUGAGGCGCGAAAGUAUGGGUAGCAAAGAGGAUUAAAUACCCUCGAUAGUCCAUACCAUAAACGAUGAUUGCUAGAUGUUGGAAAUUCAUUUUCAAGUAUCGCAGCUAACGCAUUAAGCAAUCCGGCUGAGGAAGUCGAGCGCAAGGUUAAAACUCAAAUGAAAU
rnacentral:rRNA from 1 species